AUGGGACCUGCCUUCCUUCCUGGCCUGGGAAAGGCGGCUGUCCUGUUUGCUGCCCCUUCCCCCUUUGUCUGUCUAGCAGGGGCUGGAGGUGGGGAGGAGUCUGGGACACUGGAAGGACUCAGCUCCCCCCCAAGGAAGAGGAACCUUGAGGUCCCUGUCGGUUCUACCUGCAGGUUCUCCUUGCAUCAAAUCACAGGCCAGUCUGCGUCCUCUCUGGACACUGGGGGGGGUCACUGCUCACAGGGGGUGUCUUCCGCUUCUCAGCCCCCCGCCUGCCCCAGCUGGUUCCACUGGGGGGUCAGACAGGCACCCAGCCUGCCUGUGCACAGCCCCUGCCUAUGCCAUGUCACACACUCGGCUCCAUGCCUGCCCCAGCUGGUUCCGCUGGGGGGUCAGACCAGCCCCCAGCCUGCCUGCGCACAGCCCCUGCCUAUGUCAUGUCACACACUCAGCUCCAUGCCUGCCCCAGCUGGUUCCGCUGGGGGGUCAGACCGGCCCCCAGCCUGCCUGCGCACAGCCCCUGCCUAUGUCAUGUCACACACUCGGCUCCCCUCCUGCCCCAGCUGGUUCCGCUGGGGGUCAGACAGGCACCCAGGCUGCCUGCGCACAGCCCCUGCCUAUGUCGUGUCACACACUCUGCUCCACGCCUGAGGGCCUGUGAACACCAGCUCUCCCGGGCCAAGCAGCAGCAGCAUUUUUAUGGUGUCUGUCCCCAGCGCUUGGGCCUGCUGGGCUGCAUGGAAAGCCCCUGGUGCAGUCCGGGAAUAGCUGGUCCCAGCUGCUCGUAGCAGGAACCGGUGUCUUCCACAGGGGCUGCCUGUUUGGAUGGUCUCCCCUGGGGCUUAAUGGGCCGUAGCAGGUUCCAGACCAGUCCUGGGGCCCUGCCCAGAUGCAGGGGGAAACUAGGGCCGGAGUCACUUGCCUCUGGUUCCGAGUCGCCCUUGGGUGUGUUGCGACCUGCCGAGGAUCCUUGAUGCACUGUUUCCGCUGGCACUAGCUGCUGGCUUUUCUUAGGUGCCUCGGAGGCUGCCAGGGCCACAGGCUGAACUUUGCCUCUUGUGAGCAGGGGCAAAGGGAAUCUCGCACGUCCCCCUGCACCUGGUCUCUGCAUGAGCCACCUGCAGUGCUCUCGGUCCCGGCCCCUUCGCCGGUUCAGUCGUGACGGCCCCUUGGGGGGUGGUGCUGCUGCUCUGACUGCCCCCCACGGGGGAGCUCCUGCCUUGCUGAGGUGAGGAUGCUGCCCUGGGCGUGUGUUGGGGUGGGAGGGUGGCUUUGAAGUGGGAUCUCUCCAAGGGGGAGCUGUGAUGCCCUCCCUCAGCACUAGCCAAACUAGAGCCCCAGCGUCUUCAGGAAGCAGCUCCUGGCCCUGUCUCGUCUCGUAUUGUCUGGGUCAAAUUGAACUGAAGCAGAGACAGCUAGGCAGGGGAAGCAUCAGGCAGCCCGGGGGGAGGGGGAGGAAUUGCUCGGGAAGUGGCUGGGAGGCUGUUAGCUUUUCCCAGUCCCCCUUGCUGAGUUGGGCUGUGCGUGGGGGGCCCUUAGGGCCAGGAGGCCUUUGGGAGGGCUGAAGGGUGACUUGGCCUUGUGGGUAUUUGGUUCUUUCCUUCUCUGAUCCCUGCAGUGAUGUGACACGUAACUUCCCCCGCCACUAGCA
rnacentral:lncRNA from 1 species